rnacentral:rRNA from 1 species
UGGGGAAUAUUGCACAAUGGGGGAAACCCUGAUGCAGCGACGCCGCGUGAAGGAUGAAGUAUUUCGGUAUGUAAACUUCUAUCAGCAGGGAAGAAAAUGACGGUACCUGACUAAGAAGCCCCGGCUAACUACGUGCCAGCAGCCGCUGUAAUACGUAGGGGGCAAGCGUUAUCCGGAUUUACUGGGUGUAAAGGGAGCGUAGACGGCUGUGCAAGUCUGGAGUGAAAACCCGGGGCUCAACCCCGGGAUUGCUUUGGAAACUGUGUAGCUGGAGUACCGGAGAGGCAAGUGGAAUUCCUAGUGUAGCGGUGAAAUGCGUAGAUAUUAGGAGGAACACCAGUGGCGAAGGCGGCUUGCUGGACGGUAACUGACGUUGAGGCUCGAAAGCGUGGGGAGCAAACAGG